AUUUCUCAUCACAUGUAGCUGAACCUGCUCACUACAUGCAAAUACUGCUUAGUUAUGCAGAGGUGCUUGCAUCUGAUGCCUGAGACCACACAUUUCUCCUCCAUUGUUUUAAGAGGCAGAUAAAAGCUUGCAACAAAAAGCUCUGUUUUUGGAGGGAAAAUAGGAAGAGAUGCUACCUAAUGAGUUCCUUUUUGCUGUAAUCCAUCUUUCAGCAUUUGUCAGUGGUCACAUAUGUGUGGAACAGCUGCCAACCAUUGUACAUCUCACUGAGGGAGAAAAUGUGACCCUGUCAUGUCACAUCCGUGCAGAUGAAGGGGAGAAAAUUUCUAAAUUCCGUGUAGAGUGGUACAUUGAGGGGGCUGAUGGACAACUACAUGAGGUCGGAAACCUUUCCCAGCUUAGAGGAAGGUUGCAUGAGAAGGCUAAUAGCAAUCAGCAAAGUGCAAGCCUUUCACUCUCCUCUCUCAAGCUAAAUGACACCGGCAAAUACUUCUGCAAUUUCAUCUACCAGAUUGAUCAGAAAAUAUUACAGCUUUAUGCGAAUGGCACAAGCCUCAUUGUCCAAGAGGAGGUGACUACAGAGACGACCAUCCUCAGUACCACAAAUAAUACUGGUAAUAAUACUGAUGCUGAUACUGAGAACAACGUCACAGAAAAUGUCCUUCUCACAUUCCUUCUUUCUCUUCCGUUAUCAUUAAAGUUUGUGGCAACUGUGUUUAUAUGCUUUUAUACUUUAUUUUCCUAUACAUCAACUUCUAUUUCUUGUCCUGGUUUACUUAGAAAUGUAAGGUGACAUCUUUCUAAAUGUCUCUACAUGGCUUCUGUUUAUCACCUAACAUAAGUGAACCGUAUGACUCAUAAACACCCACAGAUGUCAAAAUGUCCUUCUAUGCAUAAAUAUUACAAUUCUUGAUGUUUGUUCUAACUUGUGGCUUCUCUCACAUGUUCGCAAUUAUGAAAAAGGUGUCAAAUGUGUGUCAAUGCAUGAAAGUGGCUAUAGGCAGAAACAUUAUUUCUUCUUUGUCCUCACGUGAGGAAAAAAUUAAUGUGUUAGUAGGAACUUAACACAAAUAUUGACUUGGACCUAGUACUGUUAUUUUUCCUCCCAGAACAUCAUGGACAGUGUGAAGAUGAAGAUUUUUAAGCCAUUAUAAGAACAUGACAGAUGGAAGACCCUUUACUCCGUAAAAUGUUUGAGUCUGUUAUACACUUUUAAAUGCUGUGGUGUUUCUGACAGUGUCUCUACUGAGAAAUACAUAUUGAUGUGUAUACGCAUAUAUGUACAUAUUACCAAUGCUUAGAUUUUACGCUCACUUUUCCAUUUUGAUACUUUUAGUUAGGACUGUAAAUGUGAAAUACUGAAUGGUCUAAUUAAUGAAAGAAUCUAACGUUAAUUAUUAAAAUAUUCAAGAAUCAAAAUACACAAGAUACAUAUUCCAGAGGCAGGAGUGCUGUAAAAAGGUGGGGCUUGAGGAUGAUUCCAUGGAUCCUGAGUAGACAGGGGGCCCAUAGCGACCACACAUGAUGAAAAUUAUCCAGGAGAACCAAAGUUGUCCAGUUAGAGGGGGCUCAAUGCAUUAAAUCAUAAAAUGGCCUUAAACAUCAAUGAACUGAAGCAGUGUUAUAAAGAAGAGUGGGCCAAAAUUUAUCCAAAAUGAUGUGACAGACAUGUUACUGUUAUUAUAAUUAUGUUAAUUAUGUUAUUGUUAUUAUAUAAUUAUAGAGUGUACUUGUUUUUUUUUUCGCACCUUGUUUCUGAA